rnacentral:rRNA from 1 species
GGGGGGGGGGGGGGGGGGGGGGGGGGGGGGGGGGGCGAGGGGAGGGAGGAGAGGCGGGCUGCUCGGAGGGUAGCGGCGGGCGGGUGAGUAACACGUGGAUAACCUACCUAUAGGACUGGGAUAACUUCGGGAAACCGGAGCUAAGACCGGAUAAUAUUUUGAACCGCAUGGUUCAACAGUGAAAGACGGGCUUCCUGUCACUUAUAGAUGGAUCCGCGCUGCAUUAGCUAGUUGGUAAGGUAACGGCUUACCAAGGCAACGAUGCAUAGCCGACCUGAGAGGGUGAUCGGCCACACUGGAACUGAGACACGGUACAGACUCCUACGGGAGGCAGCAGUAGGGAAUCUUCCGCAAUGGGCGAAAGCCUGACGGAGCAACGCCGCGUGAGUGAUGAAGGUCUUCGGAUCGUAAAACUCUGUUAUUAGGGAAGAACAUAUGUGUAAGUAACUGUGCACAUCUUGACGGUACCUAAUCAGAAAGCCACGGCUAACUACGUG